rnacentral:rRNA from 1 species
UACAGAGGUGGCAAGCGUUGUUCGGAAUUACUGGGCGUAAAGGGCGCGUAGGCGGUUCGUUAAGUCCCGUGUGAAAUCCCCCGGCUCAACUGGGGAACUGCACAGGAAACUAGCGGGCUUGAGUUCGGGAGAGGGAAGCGGAAUUCCGGGUGUAGCGGUGAAAUGCGUAGAUAUCCGGAGGAACACCGGUGGCGAAGGCGGCUUCCUGGACCGACACUGACGCUGAGGCGCGAAAGCGUGGGUAGCAAACAGG